rnacentral:rRNA from 1 species
ACUCAAAUGAAUUGACGGGGGCCCGCACAAGCAGCGGAGCGUGUGGUUUAAUUCGAUGUUACACGAAGAACCUUACCAAGGUUUGACAUGCAGGUGGUAGGGAAAGGAAACUGGACCGACCCUUCGGGGAGCCUGCACAGGUGCUGCAUGGCUGUCGUCAGCUCGUGUCGUGAGAUGUUCGGUUAAGUCCGCUAACGAGCGCAACCCUCGCUGUGUGUUACAUGUGUCACACGGGACUGCCGGUCUUAAGCCGGAGGAAGGUGGGGAUGACGUCAAGUCAGCAUGGCCUUUAUGCCUUGGGCUACACACACGCUACAAUGGGUAACACAAUAGGUUGCGAAGCGGCGACGCGGAGCCAAUCCUCAAAGUUGCCCUCAGUUCAGAUCGUAGGCUGCAACUCGCCUGCGUGAAGACGGAGUUGCUAGUAACCGCAGGUCAGCUAUACUGCGGUGAAUACGUUCCCGGGCCUUGCACACACCGCCCGU